AGAAGGGGGCAAGGGAAGAACAAACCCUAAACAACACAAAUCAAUCAAAUUGAAAGGGGAUUUGAGGACUAAAUGAAUGCAUGAACCAAGAAUGUUGGUCCCUUAAGUGUUUCUAACAUCAAGCUCGAAGAAAGAAGAAGGAGCAAGUCACUCGAAAUCACAAGCAUCUCAAGAUCGCGGUAAAUCCCUUGCUUGAUUGCGGCGCACCCGAACCGAACACACACAUGAAACGUCGACCUUAUGCGCUUCCGGUUCAAGUUGUUUGUUUGAUGGGUUAACUUGCCAUUUUGUCUAGUAAAUGUUAUUUUGUAAGUGUCUAGUUUGUUAGUAAAAAAAGUUGGGAUACUAAACUUUUGUGUAGUUUGUGCAAAAUGUUCAUGGCGAACCAUAUACGGUCUUAGCUUUGAUUAUGUUGGAAAGUGUCGUAGUAUUAAUAGUAAUGGUAUUGUUAAAAACAGGGAGAAAGGUACUUAUUAUGAACGGGUCAUGUCAAAAUUUUGGUAAAAUUGUAAAAGAAAUUGUAUGUCGAUUGGUCGAAUGAGGAA